UGUGCAACAAGUAUGAAUAAUUAAUCAAUUUCUUAAUAUUUGUAAGUAAAGUUAAAUUUCUAAAGAAACAAACAAAACAUCCAGUUAACGUCUAUCUUUCAUCCAUCAAAGCUCCUUUAAAUAUCUACGAUUGCUCUAUAUUACAUCCACGAAACAUCUAUGGAUACGUCUAAUGGAGAUUGUAUGGACGUUUCAAAUGCGGAACUAUGGAUGUCUAGUAGAUGUUUACUGGAUGUUAUGUAGACGUCUAAUGGAGGUUUCGAAUCUCCAUGAUGGACGUCUAGUGGACGUCCAUUGGAGGUUUUUGUUCCGUGUGGGAUACAUGUAACGCGCGCAUAUAUUAAUCCUCCAUUAUUUUUUAAAUCGACUAGUAUUGUAUAUGUUGCUAAUAUAUUUUUU